AUGCAUCUCGUCGCCAUGGGCAUCCCUCUCCCGUUGCUCCUCUCCACCUUGGCCAUUGCCGUGACCAUAUGCUAUGUGCUGGCCACCUUCUUCCGCGCCGACAAGGGGCGCGCGGCGUUGCCACCGGGGCCGAGGGGCUGGCCGGUGCUGGGGAACCUCCCGCAGCUCGGCGGCAAGACGCACCAGACCAUGCACGAGAUGUCCAAGGUGUACGGGCCCGUGCUCCGGCUCCGGUUCGGCAGCUCCGUCGUGGUGGUCGCCGGGUCGGCCGCCGUGGCCGAGCAGUUCCUCCGCACCCACGACGCCAAGUUCAGCAGCCGCCCGCCCAACUCCGGCGGCGAGCACAUGGCGUACAACAACCAGGACGUGGUGUUCGCGCCCUACGGCCCCCGGUGGCGCGCGAUGAGGAAGGUGUGCGCCGUCAACCUCUUCUCGGCCCGCGCGCUCGACGACCUCCGCGGGUUCCGCGAGCGGGAGGCCGCGCUCAUGGUGAGGUCCCUCGUUGACGCUGCUUCCGGCGGCGGGGUGGUGGCGGUCGGCAAGGCGGCGAACGUGUGCACGACCAACGCCCUCUCGCGGGCGGCAGUGGGGCUCCGGGUGUUCGCUGCGGCAGGCACCGAGCUUGGCGCCAAGGAGUUCAAGGAGAUCGUGCUGGAGGUGAUGGAGGUGGGCGGCGUGCUCAACGUCGGGGACUUCGUGCCGGCGCUGCGGUGGCUCGACCCGCAGGGGGUUGUUGCCAGGUUGAAGAAACUGCAUCGCCGGUUCGACGACAUGAUGAACGGGAUCAUCGCCGAGAGAAGGGCCGGAGGAAGCACGGCCGGCGAGGAGAAGGAAGGUAAGGACCUGCUCGGCUUGCUGCUCGCAAUGGUGCAGGAAGACAAGUCCCUCACCGGCGGCGAGGAGGACAGGAUCACAGACACGGACGUCAAGGCGCUCAUACUGAACUUGUUCGUGGCGGGCACGGAGACGACAUCGACCAUAGUGGAGUGGGCGGUGGCGGAGCUGAUCCGGCACCCGGACAUGCUGAAGCGGGCGCAGGAGGAGAUGGACGCCGUCGUGGGCCGGGACAGGCUCGUCUCGGAGUCCGACCUGCCGCGCCUCACGUUCCUCAACGCUGUCAUCAAGGAGACGUUCCGGCUGCACCCGUCGACGCCGCUCUCGCUGCCGCGGAUGGCCUCCGAGGAGUGCGAGGUCGCCGGCUACCGCAUCCCCAAGGGCACGGAGCUGCUGGUCAACGUGUGGGGCAUCGCCCGCGACCCGGCCCUGUGGCCCGACCCGCUGGAGUUCCGGCCCGCCCGGUUCCUCCCGGGAGGGACCCACGCCGACGUCGACGUCAAGGGAGGCGACUUCGGGCUGAUCCCGUUCGGGGCCGGCCGGAGGAUAUGCGCGGGCCUCAGCUGGGGCCUGCGGGUGGUCACCGUGACGGCGGCGACGCUGGUGCACUCGUUCGACUGGGAGCUGCCGGCGGGCCAGACGCCCGACAAGCUCAACAUGGAGGAGGCAUUCUCUCUGCUGCUGCAGCGGGCCGUGCCGCUGAUGGUUCACCCCGUGCCGAGGCUGCUCCCCUCGGCAUACCAAAUCGCAUAA
rnacentral:rRNA from 1 species